rnacentral:rRNA from 1 species
GUGGGGAAUUUUGGACAAUGGGCGCAAGCCUGAUCCAGCAAUGCCGCGUGCAGGAAGAAGGCCUUCGGGUUGUAAACUGCUUUUGUACGGAACGAAACGGUCCUGGUUAAUACCUGGGGCUAAUGACGGUACCGUAAGAAUAAGCACCGGCUAACUACGUGCCAGCAGCCGCGGUAAUACGUAGGGUGCGAGCGUUAAUCGGAAUUACUGGGCGUAAAGCGUGCGCAGGCGGUGCUGUAAGACAGGCGUGAAAUCCCCGGGCUCAACCUGGGAAUUGCGCUUGUGACUGCAGUGCUGGAGUACGGGAGAGGGGGAUGGAAUUCCGCGUGUAGCAGUGAAAUGCGUAGAUAUGCGGAGGAACACCGAUGGCGAAGGCAGUCCCCUGGGCCUGUACUGACGCUCAUGCACGAAAGCGUGGGGAGCAAACAGGAUUAGAAACCCUGGUAGUCC